rnacentral:rRNA from 1 species
UACGUAGGGGGCGAGCGUUGUCCGGAUUUAUUGGGCGUAAAGAGCGUGUAGGCGGUUCGGUAAGUCUGUCGUGAAAUCCUGAGGCUCAACCUCGGGCGUGCGAUGGAUACUGCCGGGCUAGAGGGUGGUAGAGGCGAGUGGAAUUCCCGGUGUAGCGGUGAAAUGCGCAGAUAUCGGGAGGAACACCAAUGGCGAAGGCAGCUCGCUGGGACGUUACUGACGCUGAGACGCGAAAGCGUGGGGAGCAAACAGGG